GGACCCAUAGCUUAAUGGUUAAAGCAGCGAACUCAUAAUUCGUUGAGUCCCAGUUCAAAUCUGGGUGGGUCCACCA
rnacentral:tRNA from 1 species